rnacentral:rRNA from 1 species
UAGGGAAUCUUCCGCAAUGGGCGAAAGCCUGACGGAGCAACGCCGCGUGAGUGAUGAAGGUCUUCGGAUCGUAAAACUCUGUUAUUAGGGAAGAACAAAUGUGUAAGUAACUAUGCACGUCUUGACGGUACCUAAUCAGAAAGCCACGGCUAACUACGUGCCAGCAGCCGCGGUAAUACGUAGGUGGCAAGCGUUAUCCGGAAUUAUUGGGCGUAAAGCGCGCGUAGGCGGUUUUUUAAGUCUGAUGUGAAAGCCCACGGCUCAACCGUGGAGGGUCAUUGGAAACUGGAAAACUUGAGUGCAGAAGAGGAAAGUGGAAUUCCAUGUGUAGCGGUGAAAUGCGCAGAGAUAUGGAGGAACACCAGUGGCGAAGGCGACUUUCUGGUCUGUAACUGACGCUGAUGUGCGAAAGCGUGGGGAUCUAACAGG